rnacentral:lncRNA from 1 species
UAUAGAUAGCUUUUCUCAGCACAUAGCUCGGAAUAGCUGGACUCAUAUCAUGAUAGCUCAUAUUAGCAUGUGUAUGGCUAUGGAUACCUCUUCUCAGCAUAUGUAUGGCUUAGCCACUCUGAAAUUUACGUCUCGGAUAUAAAUUCGAGACAUUCCUGAUACCACCAUAACACAGGCCUUGCUUGCCAUGAGCUCACCUCUUAUUAUUUACAAAGUAAUAUUAAUGAUGG